GGCUACUACAUCCAAGGAAGGCAGCAGGCGCGCAAAUUAUCCAAUACCGAUUCGGUGAGAUAGUGACAAUAAAUACUGAUACGGGGCUCUUUUGGGUCCUGUAAUCGGAAUGAGUACAAUUUAAAUCUCUUAACGAGGAACAAGAAGAGGGCAAGUCUGGUGCCAGCAGCCGCGGUAAUUCCAGCUCUUCGAGCGUAUACUAAAGUUGUUGCGGUUAAAAAGCUCGUAGUUGAAGGUUGGGCGUGUGGGCUGUCCUCCGCGAGGACGUACGGAAACACACGCCUUUUGUCUGUGGAGCGGCAUGUCCUUCACUGGGCGUGUCGGGACACAGGACGGUUACUUUGAAGAAAUUGGAGUGCUCAAAGCAGGCGCAUGCUCGAACAGUUCAGCAUGGAAUAACGAAAUAGGACGCUGAUUCUAUUCGUUGGUUUCAGAAUCUGCGUAAUGAUUAAUAGGGACAGUCGGGGGCAUCAGU
rnacentral:rRNA from 1 species